UACGUAGGGGGCAAGCGUUGUCCGGAAUUAUUGGGCGUAAAGAGCGCGUAGGCGGUCCGAUAAGUCGGCUGUGAAAGUCAGGGGCUCAACCCUUGGAAGCCGGCCGAUACUGUCGGACUAGAGUCCGGAAGAGGCGAGUGGAAUUCCCGGUGUAGCGGUGAAAUGCGCAGAUAUCGGGAGGAACACCAAUGGCGAAGGCAGCUCGCUGGGACGGUACUGACGCUGAGGCGCAAAAGCGUGGGGAGCAAACAGGG
rnacentral:rRNA from 1 species